rnacentral:rRNA from 1 species
UACGAAGGGGGCUAGCGUUGCUCGGAAUGACUGGGCGUAAAGGGCGCGCAGGCGGCUGCUCAAGUCAGGCGUGAAAGGCCUGGGCUCAACCCGGGAAUUGCGCUUGAGACUGGGCUGGCUUGAGUGCGGGAGAGGAUGGUGGAAUUCCCAGUGUAGAGGUGAAAGUUCGUAGAUAUUGGGAAGAACACCGGUGGCGAAGGCGGCCAUCUGGACCGCAACUGACGCUGAGGCGCGAAAGCGUGGGGAGCGAACAGG